GUGGUGUGGGGAGCAGAGUAAGAGAGUGAAGCUGUAGGCUAGAAAUAUUUAUUUAAUUAACAAAUAUAUACUGAGUGCCUAUUCUGCAUUAGGCACUAGGGAGACAAAGCUACUAUGACUGCAGAGUAGGGGAAGCAGACCCACAAAUAAAUAUAUAACUACAUACUUUGAAAAAUGCUAUGACGGAAAAGGGCUGCAGGUGAAGGGCCACAAUGGAUCCAGAAAUCAAUUCAGUGGAUCUCAACUAGGAACUUAAAAUGACAUAGAUUAAAAUAGGUAAAUAUCGGAAGUCAUUAUUCAUAGAAAAGGUUGCCAGCUGUCAUGUUCUAGGAAUAGGCUUAAGGAGACGCCCAUGUGGUAAAGAACUGAGUCUCUUACCGACAGCUGCAUGAGCAAGUGAGCUUGGACGCAGCCCCUUCAGAUGACUCCAGUCCUGGCCAAUGACUUGACUGCAAGUUGAGAGAACCUGAUAUAAAACCACCCAGCUAGGGCACUCUCAGAUUCCUGACACUCAGAAAUAAUGUGACAUAAUAAAUUAUUGUUUUAAAGUUG